UACGUAGGGUGCAGGCGUUAAUCGGAAUUACUGGGCGUAAAGCGUGCGCAGGCGGCGCGUUAAGACAGGUGUGAAAGCCCCGAGCUUAACUUGGGAAUUGCGCUUGUGACUGGCGUGCUGGAGUGUGGCAGAGGGAGGUGGAAUUCCACGUGUAGCAGUGAAAUGCGUAGAUAUCGGAAGGAACAUCAGUGGCGAAAGCG
rnacentral:rRNA from 1 species